CCUCCAAAAUGGCCACCGCGACAAGGGUUAGGCCUGGAAUGGGCUGAAGACCGCCUAAACAGGGUGAUUCACAACAUAACGGAGGUUGGCAGGGGGAGGGGGAACCUCCAGAGGACCCCCCCAGCCUUGGAGAAGCCCCCCAGAGGGACCUGGCUUGUCUCCACCUACUGCUUUUUAUUUACUCUACAGUGGCUUGGCCUACCCUGGCUUCUGAAACAGAUACCUACUAUGGACAUGCAUAUCUCCUGAGAGGGCUCAUCUUUUUUUGAAGUCAAGAUGAGCUGAUUCCAAAACAGAUUAUGCCACUGCAUCAAUCUUUGCAAUCAAGGUCUGCAAAAUAUACAACCAAGUCUUGUGUUCAAGAUCUUCAGUUUGAGUUAGAAGAAGCUAUGCUCCCUGGAUUCCAUGUUGCCAGCGAGGCAAAGAGGACUUCUGCUUUUUAAAGAGGACUUCUACUUUCUGAUACUACAUAUCUUUAUGAUAUCAAUGGGAGCAAGCCAGGUUAUUUCCUUGACUACAUGUCUAUGGUUUUUUGUAUGUGUUAAUAAACCAAGAUGUUUAUUACUA